UACGUAGGGUGCGAGCGUUGUCCGGAAUUAUUGGGCGUAAAGAGCUUGUAGGCGGUCUGUCGCGUCUGCUGUGAAAAUCCGGGGCUCAACCCCGGACUUGCAGUGGGUACGGGCAGACUAGAGGUGUGGUAGGGGAGACUGGAAGUUCCAGGUGAUAGCGGUGAAUGCGUAGAUAUCAGGAGGAACACCAAUAGGCGAAAGGCAGCUCGCUGGGACGGUAC
rnacentral:rRNA from 1 species